CCAACAUACACCUGAAAGUCUCCUUAAACUUUAUAAAGAACUUUGUGUGCUUUGGAACCUACUGAGUGUGAGUCCUUCUCUGGAUCCUCAUCAAUUGCAAGUAGUUUCAUAGCUAAUGAUGGUGAGGAUGAACAUGAUGGCAGAAACAAUAGAAGAGCAAACCUCUCCCUUCAGCAAGAAGCAAAGAGAAAGGAUGUGGACCAGAGGACUAAGGUCUACCAUAAUAGCCUGCCCCAGUGUCCCAGCUCCAUCACCGCUCAUGAAUGCCACACACCGCCUGCCAUAAAGCUGUUAGAAAACGGGCUGUGGGGAGACACUUCAAAUAUAAACUGUGCCUGUCCUUUUCCCAGAGAAUAUCUUCCUCUUCCAUUUUGGCUAUUUUUCAACCUACAGUCUCUGUCUCUUUGUAAGACUUCUCUUUAAACUCAGGAUAUUCUUAACAAAUAAUCUAUGGAUGACAUUUUCUUCAUAGUCUUUAAUUUUGUCUUUUC
rnacentral:lncRNA from 1 species